rnacentral:rRNA from 1 species
GACGAACGCUGGCGGCGUGCCUAAUACAUGCAAGUAGAACGCUGAAGGAGGAGCUUUCUUCUCUGGAUGAGUUGCGAACGGGUGAGUAACGCGUAGGUAACCUGCCUGGUAGCGGGGGGUAACUAUUGGAAACGAUAGCUAAUACCGCAUAAGAGUAGAUGUUGCAUGACAUUUUCUUAAAAGAUGCAAUUUUAUCACUACCAGAUGGACCUGCGUUGUAUUAGCUAGUUGGUGGGGUAACGGCUCACCAAGGCGACGAUACAUAGCCGACCUGAGAGGGGGAUCGGCCACACUGGGACUGAGACACGGCCCAGACUCCUACGGGAGGCAGCAGUAGGGAAUCUUCGGCAAUGGACGGAAGUCUGACCGAGCAACGCCGCGGGAGUGAAGAAGGUUUUCGGAUCGUAAAGCUCUGUUGUAAGAGAAGAACGAGUGUGAGAGUGGAAAGUUCACACUGUGACGGUAUCUGACCAGAAAGGGACGGCUAACUACGUG